rnacentral:rRNA from 1 species
GGACGAACGCUGGCGGCGUGCUUAACACAUGCAAGUCGAACGGUAAGGCCCCUUCGGGGGUACACGAGUGGCGAACGGGUGAGUAACACGUGAGUAACCUGCCCUUGACUCUGGGAUAACAGCUGGAAACAGCUGCUAAUACCGGAUAUCAGCCUCGAUGGCAUCUUCGAGGCUUGAAAGCUCCGGCGGUCAUGGAUGGACUCGCGGCCUAUCAGCUUGUUGGUGAGGUAACGGCUCACCAAGGCGACGACGGGUAGCCGGCCUGAGAGGGCGACCGGCCACAUUGGGACUGAGAUACGGCCCAAACUCCUACGGGAGGCAGCAGUGGGGAAUAUUGCACAAUGGGCGAAAGCCUGAUGCAGCAACGCCGCGUGCGGGAAGACGGCCUUCGGGUUGUAAACCGCUUUCAUCUAUGACGAAGCUAACGUGACGGUAAUAGAAGAAGAAGCACCGGCUAACUACGU